GUAGUCAUAUGCUUGUCUCAAAGAUUAAGCCAUGCAUGUCUAAGUAUAAGCAAUUAUACAGCGAAACUGCGAAUGGCUCAUUAAAUCAGUUAUCGUUUAUUUGAUAGUACCUUACUACUUGGAUAACCGUGGUAAUUCUAGAGCUAAUACAUGCUAAAAACCCCGACUCACGAAGGGGUGUAUUUAUUAGAUUAAAAGCCAAUGCCCUUCGGGGCUCACUGGUGAUUCAUAAUAACUUGUCGAAUCGCAUGGCCUUGCGCCGGCGAUGGUUCAUUCAAAUUUCUGCCCUAUCAACUUUCGACGGCUGGGUCUUGGCCAGCCAUGGUGACAACGGGUAACGGAGGGUUAGGGCUCGACCCCGGAGAACGAGCCUGAGAAACGGCUAUUACAUCCAAGGAAGGCAGCAGGCGCGCAAAUUACCCAAUNNCGACUCGGUGAGGUAGUGACGAUAAAUACUGAUACAGGGCUCUUUUGGGUCUUGUAAUUGGAAUGAGUACAAUUUAAAUCCCUUAACGAGGAACAAUUGGNGGGCAAGUCUGGUGCCAGCAGCC
rnacentral:rRNA from 1 species